rnacentral:lncRNA from 13 species
UCAAUGAUGCUUACCUUUAGUCACAAUUCCCUUUCGAGCAUUCUGGUUUCUUCAUGUAACCCUCCUUUUAUUAGGGUUAUUCUCCUACUGCUCACCUAAUGGCUUGUUAGGUGCUCAAGAGCUCUGUGUCCCUGGCCCUCUGCCAAUUCUGAAGAGGAAACCCACUGCAACCCCCACAUCAUCUUGGCAAGGCCCCCAUCAUCUUUUAAAGCAGACUUUAAGUAAAAACAGUAAAAAGAGACAAAGAAGGUCAUUACAUAGUCAUAAAUAGCCUAUCAUCCUAGAUAGCAAAGAGCAAGGAGGGGCUCCAUGAGUAGGAGGAAGAUCAGCAUCAUGAAAGAGGAAUCUGAAAAUAAACAGAAAUUCUACUCCAGAAGAAACUGAGACAAUUCAGAGAAUGUGAAACAAACAACAACAACAACAAAAAUGGAAAAUCUCUAAUUAGUAACUAAGAAAGACUUGGGGGAAAUCAAUACAUUUGGUAAAUCGGUAACUUUGUGCUAGUGGCAAAAAUCAAUGAAUCAAUCCUAAAGAGAUGAUGACAGGAUUGUGGUGUCACUUAGGCUGCCCGAAGAGCUUGGUAAAAAUGGCUUCAAGUGACAGGGCGUAUCUCCUAAAAUGAUUUCUAAGACCAUGUACCCUCUUUGUACAUUUUAAGCUGCUUUCUAACAUCUUUAAUUAUACUGAAAUACUUGAAAAGAAAAUGACUUCCAGCAUAUUGCAGAUAUUAACAUUAAAAGUGUCUGCAGUUAAAUGUAUCCAAAGGAAUCAAAAUUCCCCAGUAACUGCCCACCAUCACUCACCUAGAAGACCCGCGGGACACAGUGUUCCUCCUCUCAGAAUGAUGCAGCAACAAUGUGCCAUCUUGGAAGCGGGGAGCAGCCCUCACCAGACACCGAUCCUAUUAGCACCUUGAUCUUGGACUUCCCAUCCUCCAGAACGGUGAGACAUGCAUUUCUACUGCUUAAACAUUACUCAGCCUCAGGUAUUUUGUUAUAGCAGCACAAACAGACUAGACACGACACUCCCUCACUGAGUAAUACACACCAAUUUAUUUUAACCACAACUAAUAUCUUCAGGGUUUACUCUGUGUACCUUGAAAAAUGUGGUGGUCCCAGAAAAUCUUCUAGGUAUAUCUAAAAGGAUCAUUGUUUUUGUUUGUGAGGCUAUUGCUAAACAGACAUUUUUACAUAUUGCUAAUGGAAGUACAAAGUUGUGGUAAGCCUAUUAAGCACAUUAGGCAAUAUCUAACAAAAUUACAUAUGCAUUUACCGACGUCUCUACAACCCCUCUUGCAGGAAUCUACCUUGAAGAGGUAUGUCCACAAAUGGACAUACCUAAACAUCCUAUAGCUAGAGCUAUUCCUCGUGGCACUAUUUGUAAUAGCUGCAGAUGUAAGACAACCUGUAUGUCCCUCAGCAACAGGCUGGUUGAAAACCUCCUGGUAUACCCACUCAAAGAAGUAUUACAGAGCUGUGGAAAUGAAUGAGAAAGCCAU